GCUCAGGAUGAACGCUGGCGGCGUGCUUAACACAUGCAAGUCGAACGGGAAAUAUUUCAUUGAGACUUCGGUGGAUUUGAUCUAUUUCUAGUGGCGGACGGGUGAGUAACGCGUGGGUAACCUGCCUUAUACAGGGGGAUAACAGUCAGAAAUGGCUGCUAAUACCGCAUAAGCGCACAGAGCUGCAUGGCUCAGUGUGAAAAACUCCGGUGGUAUAAGAUGGACCCGCGUUGGAUUAGCUAGUUGGUGGGGUAACGGCCCACCAAGGCGACGAUCCAUAGCCGGCCUGAGAGGGUGAACGGCCACAUUGGGACUGAGACACGGCCCAGACUCCUACGGGAGGCAGCAGUA
rnacentral:rRNA from 1 species